AACCUCCGCAAUGUGAGAAAUCGCGACGGGGGGAUCCCAAGUGCCAUUCUUAACGGGAUGGCUUUUCAUUAGUGUAAAGAGCUUUUGGAAUAAGAGCUGGGCAAGACCGGUGCCAGCCGCCGCGGUAACACCGGCAGCUCUAGUGGUAACAAUUUUUAUUGGGCCUAAAGCGUCCGUAGCCGGUUUAAUAAGUCUCUGGUGAAAUCCUGUAGCUUAACUGUGGGAAUUGCUGGAGAUACUAUUAGACUUGAGACCGGGAGAGGUUAGAGGUACUCCCAGGGUAGAGGUGAAAUUCUGUAAUCCUGGGAGGACCGCCUGUUGCGAAGGCGUCUAACUGGAACGGUUCUGACGGUGAGGGACGAAAGUUAGGGGCGCGAACCGGAUUAGAUACCCGGGCAGUCCUAACUGUAAACGAUGCGGACUUGGUGUUGGGGUGGCUUUGAGCUGCUCCAGUGCCGAAGGGAAGCUGUUAAGUCCGCCGCCUGGGAAGUACGGUCGCAAGACUGAAACUUAAAGGAAUU
rnacentral:rRNA from 1 species